rnacentral:rRNA from 1 species
GACUAUUAGUUUAACGGCCGCGGUAUUUUGACCGUGCGAAGGUAGCGCAAUCACUUGUCUUUUAAAUGGAGACCUGUAUGAAUGGCAUAGCGAGGGCUUAACUGUCUCCUCUUUCAAGUCAAUGAAAUUGAUCUUCCCGUGCAGAAGCGGGAAUAUAACCAUAAGACGAGAAGACCCUAUGAAGCUUUAGACACCAAGGCAGAUCAUGUUAAACACCCCUUAAUAAAGGACCAAACCAAAUGAGUCCUGCCCUAAUGUCUUUGGUUGGGGCGACCGCGGGGAAACAAAAAACCCCCACGUGGAAUGGGAACACCCCCUCCUACAACUAAGAGCUGCAGCUCUAGUCAACAGAAUUUCUGACCAAUAAGAUCCGGCAAUGCCGAUCAACGAACCGAGUUACUCUAGGGAUAACAGCGCAAUCCUCUUUUAGAGCCCAUAUCGACAAGGGGGUUUACGACCUCGAUGUUGGAUCAGGACAUCCUAAUGGUGCAGCCGCUAUUAAGG